GUUGCCCAGGCUAGAGUGCAGUGGUGCGAUCUCGGCUCACUGCAACCUCCACCUCCUGGGUUUAAGCAAUUCUCUUGGCUUAGCCUCCUGAGUAGCUGGGAUUACAGGCACACGCCACCACAACCAGCUACUUUUUGUUUAGUAGAGACAGGGUUUCGCCAUGUUGGCCAGGCUAGUCUUGAAUUCCUGACCUCAAGUGAUCCAUCCGUCUUGGCCUCCAAAAGUGCUGGUAUUACAAGCGUGAGCCACCAUACCCGGCCCAUUUAUUUAUUUUAGAGACAGGGUCUCACUAUGUUGCCCAGGCUGGUCUUGAACUUCUGGGCUCAAGUGAUCCUCCUGCCUCAGCCUCCCAAAGUGCUGGGAUUACAGGCGUGAGCCACUGCACCCAGCCCAGAUAUUUAUUUUUGAAUGAUGCUAGGCUCUGAGGAUGCAAAGGUUGUUUCAGUUGUUAUUCCUGCUCUGCAGGAGUUCCCAGUCCAGGAGGAGAUAGUGGCAGGAGUGACAAACUAUGCCCCAGAAAGCCAGGAAAGGCUCCUCUGGCAAGUGACGUUGAACUAGGACUUGAAGAUCAAGUAGGAGUUCACCAGGCAGACAGGAUGAGGUUAGCUGGGAUAUUUCAACAGCAUGGACAACAGGGCAUGAGAAAAUGGGAAGAGAGAAUGGGCAAGGGGUCAUCGAUGGACCGGAGAUGGGAUGGUAGGGACAGAAACUGCAGGGUCCGCAGAAGGAACUGCUCACCGAAAGCCAACAAGCUUGCCCUGUGGAAUCCCAGAAAGGCCCAGGAACUUCGGGACAUCACUGAAGGCAGAGUGAAGAGAGGAAGAGAAGACAGAGAAAUGGAGGGGAGAAAACUAUUAAAAUAAGUAAUAAGAAAACUUUCCCCAGAAGUGCAGAAUCUGAAUUUCCAGUAUAAAAGGGUCCAUUGAGCGCCAAGAACAAUGAAGGAAAAAAGGUCCCACUCAGGCCUACGUAUCAUUGUGAAAUUUCAGAACUAGAGGGAUAAAGAAAAGAUCCUAAAAGCUUCCCGAGAGAUAAAAAAGAAGAUUUUUACAAAGGAUCAGCAAUCAGAAUUGCCUCAGACUGCUCAAUAAAAACAUCAGAAGCUAGAAGAAAAUAGAAUGAGGCAUCAAAAUCCUGAGGGAAAUGAUUCCCACCUAUAAUUUCAUAUUCUGCUCAAUUAUCAAUUGAGUAUUGAAGGGAAAUAAAGACAUUUUUAGACAUGCA
rnacentral:lncRNA from 1 species